rnacentral:lncRNA from 1 species
CUGUUAUUCAAGUCCCAGCUUCUAUGCAUACACUGACAAAAUUUCUGUACUUGUGAAAGAGAACAGAGGCCGAGCCAUUGCAAGUUGAGUAGGAGUUCGUAAAAACACAUCAUAUCCGUAGAAGAACUGGUGCCUGGAAAAAAGCCUGUAUCGGGGAUUGGCUUUCUUACUCGUCAUCCUUCUUGCCCUCAAUAGAACACCUCAAUGGUUCGCGUCUCUGGGAAAGUGACCUAGCACCUUACAACACUUUUGAUAGAACGUACAAGAAAGCUGCUGGCAGAGCUAGCCUAUUAAGAUCAAUCCGUUCGUUGAUCGACCAAAAAUUCGCUGAAACAAUCUAUAAAACAGCGAUCUUGCCUAUUUUUACGUAUGGCGGAUCACUUGGUCUUGGCUGAUCAGACACCAGGAAAAGUCUGAUAAACAACAUCGAACAACAACGUUUGAAAAUUAUUGGUAGCAGCAAUCUAAAACUACCAUCAGCAGAGAACUUAAUUCGGCGCAGAAGCAGUCAGUUUGUCUUUGACUGUCUUCAAAAUAAUGCUGGUUUGCACCCCCUUUAAGACCUACUUUGAAAGAUCAGUUCACCCUAAGAACACAAGGAACAAUGGAAUAUCAGUGAAACUACCUAAAGCUCGCCUUGAAUUUGGGAAGAAGGGCUUUUACUAUCAACUCAACGUGAGCCGGCUAGCUCGCGACAUGACUGAAAUUAAUCUUAGCUUCUCAGUUGUUCCGUUCAAUUCCGUUCAAUUAGGCUAGGAAUAUAUUUAGUUUUAUAUUAGAUGUAAAUUACGUUUUUACGAACGGUUUAAGUUACGUUUUAUUCAUAUGUAAAUAACUUUGUCUAUUUGUAUUUAGUUACGACUUAAAUAGUGUCCCCAAUUAAUUUAUUAAAAGCUAAAUACCUUGACACUUAAACAAAGUCCUAAUACUGCUACUGCAUUAUUCCGGAUUACGUUUGCCUCUUUCAAACUAUUUUUUAGCGUUCGGAGGUUAUUAGUCAACUCCUGUUCAGGUUUAUUUACCUCUUACUUCUAGAAUUGAUCAAGGCUGCAUGUCUCUGUCAACCUUCCCUCAGUUCACUUUGCAAUUGUUAUACCAAAACUGUUUUUUUCGCAUCAGGCUAAGGAAAAUCUUCUAAUUUUUUUAAACUUUUUGAUGACCGUUAUUUCUUCUGCCAAUUGAAGCCAAGGAAGUUUGUCCUUCCUUGUGUAGGAGCGCUCCGUGUUUAAUUUGUGGAAGUUUAAUACUUUGAAAUAGUUUUGCGCACGAAAAUUUAGUUGAUUGCGGUUGUUGUUGUUUUUUAAUUUUGGACGUUGGCAAAAUUUGAUAUAGGACUUACGCUGUACAAUUUGGGCUUAAAUGGAAAAAAUGGUUGGCUACGCCCCUGCAGACCUUUAUAGCAGGCGAUUGUAAUUUUCCAGCGCUCCCUGUUUCAGCAGAAAAGCCAUAACAACGAACGAGACUACGAACGACAAAACUGAAUUGUAAAUAAAUAAACCGUUAACCGUAAAAUCCGCCUCCAAAUUGGACCCUCCAACUGGGUCAAUAGAGUAUUUUCCGGAAAUGAGAGAUCAAUCAAGUUUAGUGUAAAAAGGAAUGUGAUGCUUUUCAAUCAAUAAAGCGCUUUGCAUAAUUAUCAAUUUUCGUAAAUAAGUUUUGUGGUGGAGAGCUCCUUAUAAAAUUAAUUUUGAAUAUGCCUCGUCUGUGAAUUGGCAGCCCCUGUUUGUAGCUAGCGCUCAACCGAUAAGUCGGUGGCUGUAGUUGAAGCUACGACAAUCACAGACGAAUCGAGAAGUGUCGGGCUUCGGAGAGAAGUAUUUUACGGAGAAUGAGACCACAGAAGGCGAUGAAAGUUCCGAUUAAUGCUCGUUUAUUUCUGCACAACGUAUGUUGAUUCUCGUAAACUGAAAAUAAUGAUUAUAUAACUAAAUAAACUAAUGUGAACGUACAAAGACAAAAACUACACUAACUAUAACCGAAAAUAAGGUAUAAAUAAAGAAACUAAAACGAUUUUAAAGGUCAAACUUGCAUGCUGAAUUCAUAUUUGGAGGCGGAACCCGCUAGUUACAAAACAACAAUACUACAAGAAAAAUACAUGUUCCGCACGAAAAACGACA